rnacentral:lncRNA from 1 species
UGAAUGAUAGUCACAAGUGUGAAUUUUUGAUGCGGAAGAUUAUUCUGGAAAUAUUAGUAUAGUAGGUGCUCCUUUAAUUCAUAUUAAUUUAUUAAUUUAGCAAGGCCACUAGUAUACAUUCUAUAGUUACCUUAUCUCACUAAGUUUCAAGACAAGAAUAUCUUAGCUCUUGUUAAGCAUUGAAUUUUUUUGUGAACCUGCCUUCAUCAUGCUGGUUAAGGAAGUUAUGUUAUGGAACUAAGCUUUGUAGGACUAUGUGUGACAAGAUACCUUUGAAAGAUCUGCUUCACUACAUGGAACCGAGAGUUCAUUAAUGUUAGAGAUUUUGGGAAAUUAAUUUCUCAGUAAUGUGUCUUAAGUUACAAAACAUGAAGUGUCUUACUUGUGGAACAUUGGUAGACUAUGAUAAAGAAAACAAUUAUAAUCUUUUUUUGGUUUUAAUAAUAAUUCCAAAUCAUUUUUAAUUAAAAA